rnacentral:rRNA from 1 species
AGAGUUUGAUCCUGGCUCAGAGCGAACGCUGGCGGCAGGCUUAACACAUGCAAGUCGAGCGGGCAUCUUCGGAUGUCAGCGGCAGACGGGUGAGUAACACGUGGGAACGCACCCUUCGGUUCGGAAUAACGCUGGGAAACUAGCGCUAAUACCGGAUACGCCCUUUUGGGGAAAGGUUUACUGCCGAAGGAUCGGCCCGCGUCUGAUUAGCUAGUUGGUGGGGUAACGGCCUACCAAGGCGACGAUCAGUAGCUGGUCUGAGAGGAUGAUCAGCCACACUGGGACUGAGACACGGCCCAGACUCCUACGGGAGGCAGCAGUGGGGAAUAUUGGACAAUGGGCGCAAGCCUGAUCCAGCCAUGCCGCGUGAGUGAUGAAGGCCUUAGGGUUGUAAAGCUCUUUUGUCCGGGACGAUAAUGACGGUACCGGAAGAAUAAGCCCCGGCUAACUUCGUGCCAGCAGCCGCGGUAAUACGAAGGGGGCUAGCGUUGCUCGGAAUCACUGGGCGUAAAGGGCGCGUAGGCGGCCAUUCAAGUCGGGGGUGAAAGCCUGUGGCUCAACCACAGAAUUGCCUUCGAUACUGUUUGGCUUGAGUAUGGUAGAGGUUGGUGGAACUGCGAGUGUAGAGGUGAAAUUCGUAGAUAUUCGCAAAAACACCGGUGGCGAAGGCGGCCAACUGGACCAUUACUGACGCUGAGGCGCGAAAGCGUGGGGAGCAAACAGGAUUAGAUACCCUAGUAGUCC